GAUCAGUAGGGGUUCUGAGAGGAAGGUCCCCCACAUUGGAACUGAGACACGGUCCAAACUCCUACGGGAGGCAGCAGUGAGGAAUAUUGGUCAAUGGGCGAGAGCCUGAACCAGCCAAGUAGCGUGCAGGAAGACGGCCCUAUGGGUUGUAAACUGCUUUUAUAAGGGAAUAAAGUGAGUCUCGUGAGACUUUUUGCAUGUACCUUAUGAAUAAGGACCGGCUAAUUCCGUGCCAGCAGCCGCGGUAAUACGGAAGGUCCGGGCGUUAUCCGGAUUUAUUGGGUUUAAAGGGAGCGUAGGCCGGAGAUUAAGCGUGUUGUGAAAUGUAGACGCUCAACGUCUGCACUGCAGCGCGAACUGGUUUCCUUGAGUACGCACAAAGUGGGCGGAAUUCGUGGUGUAGCGGUGAAAUGCUUAGAUAUCACGAAGAACUCCGAUUGCGAAGGCAGCUCACUGGAGCGCAACUGACGCUGAAGCUCGAAAGUGCGGGUAUCGAACAGGAUUAGAUACCCUGGUAGUCCGCACGGUAAACGAUGGAUGCCCGCUGUUGGUCUGAACAGGUCAGCGGCCAAGCGAAAGCAUUAAGCAUCCCACCUGGGGAGUACGCCGGCAACGGUGAAACUCAAAGGAAUUGACGGGGGCCCGCACAAGCGGAGGAACAUGUGGUUUAAUUCGAUGAUACGCGAGGAACCUUACCCGGGCUUGAAUUGCAGAGGAAGGAUUUGGAGACAAUGACGCCCUUCGGGGUCUCUGUGAAGGUGCUGCAUGGUUGUCGUCAGCUCGUGCCGUGAGGUGUCGGCUUAAGUGCCAUAACGAGCGCAACCCCUCUCCUUAGUUGCCAUCAGGUUAAGCUGGGCACUCUGGGGACACUGCCACCGUAAGGUGUGAGGAAGGUGGGGAUGACGUCAAAUCAGCACGGCCCUUACGUCCGGGGCUACACACGUGUUACAAUGGCAGGUACAGAGAGACGGUUGUACGUAAGUACGAUCAAAUCCUUAAAGCCUGUCUCAGUUCGGACUGGGGUCUGCAACCCGACCCCACGAAGCUGGAUUCGCUAGUAAUCGCGCAUCAGCCAUGGCGCGGUGAAUACGUUCCCGGGCCUUGUACACACCGCCCGUCAAGCCAUGAAAGCCGGGGGCGCCUAAAGUCCGUGACCGUAAGGAGCGGCCUAGGGCGAAACUGGUAAUUGGGGCUAAGUCGUAACAAGGUA
rnacentral:rRNA from 1 species